rnacentral:rRNA from 1 species
GAUGAACGCUGGCGGCAUGCCUAAUACAUGCAAGUCGAACGAGAGGAAGGAAAGCUUGCUUUUCUGAAUCUAGUGGCGAACGGGUGAGUAACACGUAGGUAACCUGCCCAUGUGCCCGGGAUAACUUCUGGAAACGGAUGCUAAAACCGGAUAGGUAGCAGACAAGCAUUUGACUGCUAUUAAAGUGGCUAAGGCCAUGAACAUGGAUGGACCUGCGGUGCAUUAGCUAGUUGGUGAGGUAACGGCCCACCAAGGCGACGAUGCAUAGCCGGCCUGAGAGGGCGGACGGCCACAUUGGGACUGAGACACGGCCCAAACUCCUACGGGAGGCAGCAGUAGGGAAUUUUCGUCAAUGGGGGGAACCCUGAACGAGCAAUGCCGCGUGAGUGAGGAAGGUCUUCGGAUCGUAAAGCUCUGUUGUAAGAGAAAAACGACAUUCAUAGGGAAUGAUGAGUGAGUGAUGGUAUCUUACCAGAAAGUCACGGCUAACUACGUGCCAGCCGCCGCAGUAAGAC